AACAAUCAUAAACAAAUUUAUGUCAUAUCUAAAAUCAUUUACAUCACAAUUGUUAAAUACAUCAAAUCAUAGUUAAUCAAAAGUAAAAUAAAAAGAAUAUGCAUAGAGAUAACAAAAAAAAUUCUAAACGCAUUUCGAUGACCUCCAAAUUGAGAACAAUCCUUUCUUUUAACAUCAACUCCAAAAGUAAGUUCUCAACUG
rnacentral:lncRNA from 1 species